UACGUAGGGUGCAAGCGUUGUCCGGAAUUAUGGGGCGUAAAGAGCUCGUAGGCGGUUUGUCGCGUCUGCUGUGAAAACUCAGGGCUUAACCCUGGGCUUGCAGUGGGUACGGGCAGACUAGAGUGCGGUAGGGGAGACUGGAAUUCCUGGUGUAGCGGUGAAAUGCGCAGAUAUCAGGAGGAACACCGGUGGCGAAGGCGGGUCUCUGGGCCGUAACUGACGCUGAGGAGCGAAAGCAUGGGGAGCGAACAGG
rnacentral:rRNA from 1 species